CCUACGGGCGGCAGCAGUGAGGAAUAUUGGUCAAUGGGCGCGAGCCUGAACCAGCCAAGUAGCGUGAAGGAUGACUGCCCUACGGGUUGUAAACUUCUUUUUUAAAGGAAUAAAGUGAGGCACGUGUGCCUUUUUGUAUGUACUUUAUGAAUAAGGAUCGGCUAACUCCGUGCCAGCAGCCGCGGUAAUCCGGAGGAUCCGAGCGUUAUCCGGAUUUAUUGGGUUUAAAGGGGGCGUAGUUGGGUUGUUAAGUCAGUGGUGAAAGUUUGCGGCUCACCCGUAAAAUUGCAAUUGAUACUGGCAGCCUUGAGAACGGUUGAGGUAGGCGGAAUUCGUGGUGUAGCAGUGAAAUGCUUAGAUAUCACGAAGAACUCCGAUUGCGAAGGCAGCUUACUAAGCUGCCACUGACAUUGAUGCACGAAAGUGUAGGUAUCAAACGGGAUUAGAUACCCGAGUAGUC
rnacentral:rRNA from 1 species